UACGUAGGGUCCGAGCGUUGUCCGGAAUUACUGGGCGUAAAGAGCUCGUAGGUGGUUUGUCGCGUUGUUCGUGAAAACUCACAGCUCAACUGUGGGCGUGCGGGCGAUACGGGCAGACUUGAGUACUGCAGGGGAGACUGGAAUUCCUGGUGUAGCGGUGGAAUGCGCAGAUAUCAGGAGGAACACCGGUGGCGAAGGCGGGGUCUCUGGGGCAGUAACUGACGCUGAGGAGCGAAAGCGUGGGGGAGCGAACAGG
rnacentral:rRNA from 1 species